ACGAACGCUGGCGGCGUGCCUAAUACAUGCCAGUAGAACGCACAGUUUAUACCGUAGCUUGCUACACCAUAAACUGUGAGUUGCGAACGGGUGAGUAACGCGUAGGUAACCUGCCUGGUAGCGGGGGAUAACUAUUGGAAACGAUAGCUAAUACCGCAUAAUAUUGAUUAUUGCAUGAUAAUUGAUUGAAAGAUGCUAUUGCAUCACUACCAGAUGGACCUGCGUUGUAUUAGCUAGUAGGUGAGGUAACGGCUCACCUAGGCGACGAUACAUAGCCGACCUGAGAGGGUGAUCGGCCACACUGGGACUGAGACACGGCCCAGACUCCUACGGGAGGCAGCAGUAGGGAAUCUUCGGCAAUGGACGAAAGUCUGACCGAGCAACGCCGCGUGAGUGAAGAAGGUUUUCGGAUCGUAAAGCUCUGUUGUAAGAGAAGAACGGGUGUGAGAGUGGAAGGUUCACACUGUGACGGUAUCUUACCAGAAAGGGACGGCUAACUACGUG
rnacentral:rRNA from 1 species